AGGAAGUUAGUCCAAUACAAGACAUCUGAUUUCGGCUCAGAAAACUAUGGUUUAAACCCAUAAUUUCCUU
rnacentral:tRNA from 1 species